CCGGGCAGCUCUGCUGGGGGUCCUUGCCGGGAGGCCGCGGACCUGGAAGGCCGCGGAGGCUGGGCUAGUGCCUGGUACGUGGUUGGCGGCCAGUACUUGUCGGAGGUACGUGGAGGCCGAAGGACGUGUGCGCUCGAUCGCGAGGGCCGAGGCCGCCCUUGAAAGUCUCGAGCUGCGAGCGACACGGAGACACGAGGGAGCACAGCUCAUGUGGGGAUUCAGACUCACAGGAGUGGGAUGCUGCUUUAGAGAAAGGAAAGAGGGAGAGAAGGAAGACUGGGAGAAAUGGAGAAGGGGGAGGGAGACGAGGGAAGAGGACGAGGAUCAUGGAUUUCCAGUUCUUUCUAGCAUUAUCUCUUAACUCAGGCCAAAGACGCUAUGGGCAAAGCAUCCCCCAUGAGAACUGAAACUACCCCCUCAAGCAAUAAGAACCACCCUGAGCCAGCAAGACAAUGAUGGUGACUGACCCCAAGACGAGAUCGACCUGACCUUCACUAUCCACCUGCACGUACCCACCGAACUUAUAUAAACCUGGAAGUAUUUUCGGCACUUUGGAGACCGUCUUUGAGAUGCUAGUCUGCUGUCUUCUAGGUGUCGGCCUCCCUGAAAUAAAUUCCUUUCUUGU